GCAAGUCGAACGGCAGCCGCGGGAGCAAUCCUGGCGGCGAGUGGCGAACGGGUGAGAAAAACAUCGGAACGUGCCCAAUCGUGGGGGAUAACGCAGCGAAAGCUGUGCUAAUACCGCAUACGAUCUACGGAUGAAAGCAGGGGACCGCAAGGCCUUGCGCGAAUGGAGCGGCCGAUGGCAGAUUAGGUAGUUGGUGAGGUAAAGGCUCACCAAGCCUUCGAUCUGUAGCUGGUCUGAGAGGACGACCAGCCACACUGGGACUGAGACACGGCCCAGACUCCUACGGGAGGCAGCAGUGGGGAAUUUUGGACAAUGGGCGCAAGCCUGAUCCAGCCAUGCCGCGUGCAGGAUGAAGGCCUUCGGGUUGUAAACUGCUUUUGUACGGAACGAAACGGCCUUUUCUAAUAAAGAGGGCUAAUGACGGUACCGUAAGAAUAAGCACCGGCUAACUACGUGCCAGCAGCCGCGGUAAUACGUAGGGUGCAAGCGUUAAUCGGAAUUACUGGGCGUAAAGCGUGCGCAGGCGGUGAUGUAAGACAGUUGUGAAAUCCCCGGGCUCAACCUGGGAACUGCAUCUGUGACUGCAUCGCUGGAGUACGGCAGAGGGGGAUGGAAUUCCGCGUGUAGCAGUGAAAUGCGUAGAUAUGCGGAGGAACACCGAUGGCGAAGGCAAUCCCCUGGGCCUGUACUGACGCUCAUGCACGA
rnacentral:rRNA from 2 species